ACCAUCUAUUUGCUUUUCAAAGUACUUCAUUCUCUAUCAUUCAUUCGUCACAUAAUUUUUUUAGGAUCUAAUUGAUACUUAAAUUUUUAUAUGAUAUUUUUUUAUUAUUUUUUAUAAAAAAAUGGGAAAGAUCCAAAUCAUCUGAUAAUAAGAAUAGUCACGGUAAUCUUUUUUAGCAAGUGAAAAAAUUGAUUGCCAUCAUUUUUUAUCUUUUUUUUAAAAACAUCCCUUUGUCGCCACCAUCUAUCUCCUUACAACUACCUGCCACUCGGCCUCGUUCGAUCUGACUGCCUCCUCCUCAAUUUUAAACCUACCACUCUUUCUCUUUUCCUUCAUUUUCAAUCCACCUCUUUUUCUCCACGUUCAACCUAUCGAUCCUCCUCUUCUCCUCCAUCUUCAAUCCAUCCUCCUCUUCUCCUUUCUUUUCAAUCCAUCCAUCCUCCUCCUCUUCUCCUUCAGCAUCUUCAAUCCAUCUCUCAUAUUUUCUCCUCCUCUUCUUCAUCUUCAACCCAUUCUUCAUCAUCCUUCUUCUCUA
rnacentral:lncRNA from 1 species